AACGUAACGUUGAACAAGAGGAGUAACUAGUGCUUGACUGAUAGAGAGAGAACGAAUGGUGGAACGUUCUUAGGAGAGGCUGGUGAAGGUAGCUUGGGAGUUUUUAUCUUGAACCCUUAUUUGAAGCAUCUGGCUGGGGCUAGGGGUAAACGAGUCGUGAUCGUUAACUCACUGAAAGUGGUAAUAGGAAACUAUUACAAAUUAGGUGGUACCGCGUAAACUAAUACGUCCUAAAA
rnacentral:ncRNA from 1 species